AGUCCUUGACCACGACUGUUGCGGCAGCAGCGGCAGCAGCAGCGGUGCUGACAUUGGGACAGCAGUGUCAGGACAGUGGUGGCAGCAAGAGCUGCAGGACUGGCAGAGGGCAAGGCACCAUGGCCUUUGCUCUGCGCCUCUUCCUCCUGCUCCUCCUGGCAGUGGCCCUGCCUGACAGGGCUGCCCAGGCUUCUCCACAGCAAGCACAGGGAGCAGCCAAACUUCUUGAUGAAGGUGAUCUGGCUUCCCAACCCACAUCCAGGACUGAAGCUCAGGGAGAUGGUGAGGGUGUGUCUGCAGGGAGGAUGUUUCCAGCUCCUGG